GGAUGGGUGGGUGAUCUGGCUGGAAUAUCUUUCACCCUGUGGAUCACCAGGGUUGAUUCAGUCAAUCUAGUUGGCUAGGUGGGUGUCCCCUUCCUCCCUCACUUCUCCAUAGGUCUUCCACCCAAAACUGUGCACUUGGUCGAAGAGGACAACCAUCCCUGCCAGAAGAGAACCGUUCUUCACUCCAGACUAUGCAAGUAGUUGUGCUCCCCUGCUGGACCCUCCAACCAAGCUCUCAAGAAAAGUGCAAUAUUGAGGGUGUCAUUGAGUUUAAAAAAAAGAGGCUGAGCUGAGCGGAUUGCCUGAGCC
rnacentral:snRNA from 1 species